UACGUAGGGUGCGAGCGUUGUCCGGAAUUACUGGGCGUAAAGAGCUCGUAGGUGGUUUGUCGCGUUGUUCGUGAAAUCUCACGGCUUAACUGUGAGCGUGCGGGCGAUACGGGCAGACUGGAGUACUGCAGGGGAGACUGGAAUUCCUGGUGUAGCGGUGGAAUGCGCAGAUAUCAGGAGGAACACCGGUGGCGAAGGCGGCUCUCUGGGACGGUACUGACGCUGAGACGCGAAAGCGUGGGGAGCAAACAGG
rnacentral:rRNA from 1 species